UACGGGGGGGGCAAGCGUUGUUCGGAAUUACUGGGCGUAAAGGGCUCGUAGGUGGCCAACUAAGUCGGACGUGAAAUCCCUCAGCUUAACUGGGGAACUGCGUCCGAUACUGGAUGGCUUGAGUUUGGGAGAGGGAUGCGGAAUUCCAGGUGUAGCGGUGAAAUGCGUAGAUAUCUGGAGGAACACCGGUGGCGAAGGCGGCAUCCUGGACCAACACUGACACUGAGGAGCGAAAGCCAGGGGAGCAAAACGGGG
rnacentral:rRNA from 1 species